rnacentral:rRNA from 1 species
GAUGAACGCUGGCGGCGUGCCUAAUACAUGCAAGUCGAGCGAACAGAUGAGGAGCUUGCUCCUCUGACGUUAGCGGCGGACGGGUGAGUAACACGUGGAUAACCUACCUAUAAGACUGGGAUAACUUCGGGAAACCGGAGCUAAUACCGGAUAAUAUAUUGAACCGCAUGGUUCAAUAGUGAAAGACGGUUUUGCUGUCACUUAUAGAUGGAUCCGCGCCGCAUUAGCUAGUUGGUAAGGUAACGGCUUACCAAGGCAACGAUGCGUAGCCGACCUGAGAGGGUGAUCGGCCACACUGGAACUGAGACACGGUCCAGACUCCUACGGGAGGCAGCAGUAGGGAAUCUUCCGCAAUGGGCGAAAGCCUGGCGGAGCAACGCCGCGUGAGUGAGGAAGGUCUUCGGAUCGUAAAACUCUGUUAUUAGGGAAGAACAAAUGUGUAAGUAACUAUGCACGUCUUGACGGUACCUAAUCAGAAAGCCACGGCUAACUACGUG